rnacentral:rRNA from 1 species
CUAAGGUCCCAAAGUCAUGGUUAAGUGGGAAACGAUGUGGGAAGGCACAGACAGCCAGGAUGUUGGCUUAGAAGCAGCCAUCAUUUAAAGAAAGCGUAAUAGCUCACUGGUCGAGUCGGCCUGCGCGGAAGAUGUAACGGGGCUAAACCAUGCACCGAAGCUGCGGCAGCGACACUAUGUGUUGUUGGGUAGGGGAGCGUUCUGUAAGCCUGUGAAGGUGACCUGUGAGGGUUGCUGGAGGUAUCAGAAGUGCGAAUGCUGACAUAAGUAACGAUAAAGCGGGUGAAAAGCCCGCUCGCCGGAAGACCAAGGGUUCCUGUCCAACGUUAAUCGGGGCAGGGUGAGUCGACCCCUAAGGCGAGGCCGAAAGGCGUAGUCGAUGGGAAACAGGUUAAUAUUCCUGUACUUGGUGUUACUGCGAAGGGGGGACGGAGAAGGCUAUGUUAGCCGGGCGACGGUUGUCCCGGUUUAAGCAUGUAGGCUGAUUGUCCAGGCAAAUCCGGAUAAUCAAGGCUGAGGUGUGAUGACGAGGCACUACGGUGCUGAAGUAACAAAUGCCCUGCUUCCAGGAAAAGCCUCUAAGCAUCAGGUAACAUCAAAUCGUACCCCAAACCGACACAGGUGGUCAGGUAGAGAAUACCAAGGCGCUUGAGAGAACUCGGGUGAAGGAACUAGGCAAAAUGGUGCCGUAACUUCGGGAGAAGGCACGCUGGUGUGUAGGUGAAGNUGGAGCUGAGACCAGUCGAAGAUACCAGCUGGCUGCAACUGUUUAUUAAAAACACAGCACUGUGCAAACACGAAAGUGGACGUAUACGGUGUGACGCCUGCCCGGUGCCGGAAGGUUAAUUGAUGGGGUUAUCCGUAAGGAGAAGCUCUUGAUCGAAGCCCCGGUAAACGGCGGCCGUAACUAUAACGGUCCUAAGGUAGCGAAAUUCCUUGUCGGGUAAGUUCCGACCUGCACGAAUGGCGUAAUGAUGGCCAGGCUGUCUCCACCCGAGACUCAGUGAAAUUGAACUCGCUGUGAAGAUGCAGUGUACCCGCGGCAAGACGGAAAGACCCCGUGAACCUUUACUAUAGCUUGACACUGAACAUUGAGCCUUGAUGUGUAGGAUAGGUGGGAGGCUUUGAAGCGUGGACGCCAGUCUGCGUGGAGCCAACCUUGAAAUACCACCCUUUAAUGUUUGAUGUUCUAACGUUGGCCCCUGACCGGGGUUGCGGACAGUGUCUGGUGGGUAGUUUGACUGGGGCGGUCUCCUCCCAAAGCGUAACGGAGGAGCACGAAGGUUAGCUAAUCCUGGUCGGACAUCAGGAGGUUAGUGCAAUGGCAUAAGCUAGCUUGACUGCGAGCGUGACGGCGCGAGCAGGUGCGAAAGCAGGUCAUAGUGAUCCGGUGGUUCUGAAUGGAAGGGCCAUCGCUCAACGGAUAAAAGGUACUCCGGGGAUAACAGGCUGAUACCGCCCAAGAGUUCAUAUCGACGGCGGUGUUUGGCACCUCGAUGUCGGCUCAUCACAUCCUGGGGCUGAAGUAGGUCCCAAGGGUAUGGCUGUUCGCCAUUUAAAGUGGUACGCGAGCUGGGUUUAGAACGUCGUGAGACAGUUCGGUCCCUAUCUGCCGUGGGCGCUGGAGAAUUGAGGGGGGCUGCUCCUAGUACGAGAGGACCGGAGUGGACGCAUCACUGGUGUUCGGGUUGUCAUGCCAAUGGCACUGCCCGGUAGCUAAAUGCGGAAGAGAUAAGUGCUGAAAGCAUCUAAGCACGAAACUUGCCCCGAGAUGAGUUCUCCCUGAGACUUUAAGUCUCCUGAAGGAACGUUGAAGACGACGACGUUGAUAGGCCGGGUGUGUAAGCGCAGCGAUGCGUUGAGCUAACCGGUACUAAUGAACCGUGAGGCUUAACCUU